rnacentral:rRNA from 1 species
AUUGAACGCUGGCGGCAGGCCUAACACAUGCAAGUCGAGCGGAGCGGCGGACGGGUGAGUAAUGCCUAGGCAUCUGCCUGGUAGUGGGGGAUAACGUCCGGAAACGGGCGCUAAUACCGCAUACUAUCAGAUGAGCCUAGGUCGGAUUAGCUAGUUGGUGGGGUACAGGCCUACCAAGGCGACGAUCCGUAACUGGUCUGAGAGGAUGAUCAGUCACACUGGGACUGAGACCGUGUCCAGACUGCUACGGGCGGGAGCAGUGAGGAAUAUUGGACAAUGGGCGAAAGCCUGAUACAGCCAUGCCGCGUGUGUGAAGAAGGUCUUCGGAUUGUAAAGCACUUUAAGUUGGGAGGCGUUACCAACAGAAUAAGCACCGGCUGACUUCGUGCCGGCCGCCGCGGUAAUAC